rnacentral:rRNA from 1 species
AUACGUAGGGGGCGAGCGUUGUCCGGAAUUACUGGGCGUAAAGGGCGCGUAGGCGGCGCGGUAAGUCUGGAGUGAAAGCCCUGCUUUCAAGGUGGGAAUUGCUUUGGAUACUGCCGCGCUUGAGUGCAGGAGAGGUUAUCGGAAUUCCCGGUGUAGCGGUGAAAUGCGUAGAGAUCGGGAGGAACACCAGUGGCGAAGGCGGGUAACUGGACUGCAACUGACGCUGAGGCGCGAAAGUGUGGGGAGCAAACAGGAUUAGAUACCCUGGUAGUCCACACUGUAAACGAUGAAUACUAGGUGUAGGGGGUAUCGACUCCCUCUGUGCCGCAGUUAACACAUUAAGUAUUCCGCCUGGGGAGUACGGCCGCAAGGUGGAAACUCAAAGGAAUUGGCGGGG